rnacentral:rRNA from 1 species
CCCGCACAAGCAGCGGAGCGUGUGGUUAAUUCGUUGCUACACGAAGAACCUUACCUGGGUUUGACAUAAUGGUGGUAGGGAUCCGAAAGGUGACCGACCCUUCGGGGAGCUUGCACAGGUGCUGCAUGGCUGUCGUCAGCUCGUGUCGUGAGAUGUUCGGUUAAGUCCGCUAACGAGCGCAACCCUCGCUGUGUGUUAUAUGUGUCACACGGGACUGCCGGUCUUAAGCCGGAGGAAGGUGGGGAUGAUGUCAAGUCAGCAUGGCCUUUAUAUCCUGGGCUACACACACGCUACAAUGGCCAACACAAUAGGUUGCUAAGCCGCGAGGUGGCGCCAAUCCAUAAAGUUGGUCUCAGUUCAGAUUGUAGGCUGCAACCCCGCCUGCAUGAAGAUGGAGUUGCCUAGUAACCGCACGGUCAGCUAAUACUAGCGGUGAAUACGUUCCCGGGCGUU